UUGCUCUUCAACGAGGAAUACCUAGUAAGCGUAAGUCAUCAACUUGCGUUGAUUACGUCCCUGCCCUUUGUACACACCGCCCGUCGCUACUACCGAUUGAAUGGCUUGGUGAGAUCUCCGGAUUGGCGUUGGGGAGCCGGCAACGGCANCCCCUUGGCUGAGAAGCUGAUCAAACCUGGUCAUUUAGAGGAAGUAAAAGUCGUAACAAGGUUUCCGUAGGUGAACCUGCGGAAGGAUCAUUAAUGAUUGACCCUCUGGGUCUUAUCUUAACAUCCCUCACCUCUAUGAACCGUUUGACCUCCGGGUCUUACAAAAACCAUAACAAACAUCAGUGUAAAGAACGUCUUGUUAUCUUAACAAAAACAAAACUUUCAACAACGGAUCUCUUGGCUCUCGCAUCGAUGAAGAACGCAGCGAAAUGCGAUAAGUAAUGUGAAUUGCAGAAUUCAGUGAAUCAUCGAAUCUUUGAACGCACCUUGCGCCUUUUGGUAUUCCGAAAGGCAUGCCUGUUUGAGUGUCAUGAAAUCUCAAUCCCAUCUGGUUUAUGACCGGGUGUUGGACUUGGACAUGGGCGUCUGCCGGUCAAACGGCUCGCCUCAAAUGACUUAGUGGGAUCGCUUGCAUCCGUGACAGACGUAAUAAGUUUCGUCUUGUCCCUUGCUCUGCGUACGCCUGCUCAGAACCAAGCUGUCUUGCCUUCAUUGGCCUGACGCACUUUUUUUUGACUCUGACCUCAAAUCAGGUAGGACUACCCGCUGAACUUAAGCAUAUCAAUAAGCGGAGGA
rnacentral:rRNA from 1 species